rnacentral:rRNA from 1 species
CCUACGGGAGGCAGCAGUAAGGAAUAUUGGUCAAUGGACGCAACUCUGAACGAGCCAUGCCGCGUGCAGGAAGACGGCUCUAUGAGUUGUAAACUGCUUUUGUACGAGGGUAAACGCAGAUACGCGUAUCUGUCUGAAAUUAUCGUACGAAUAAGGAUCGGCUAACUACGUGCCAGCCGCCGCGGUAAUAUGGAGGAUUCAAGCGUUAUGCGGAUUUGGUGGGUUUAAAGGGUGCGUAGGGGGUCGGAGAAGUUAGAGGUGAAAUCCCGAGGCGCAACUUCGGAAAUGCCUGUGAUACUGUUCGGCUAGAGAGUAGUUGAGGGAGGCGGAAUUUAUGGUGUAGCGGUGAAAUGCUUAGAGAU